CCCUUCGAUGUUCGGAGCUGCACGCGCGCUACACUGGUCGAUGCAACGAGUUUCUUUCCUUGGCCGACAGGCCUGGGCAAUCUUUGAACAUCGAUCGUGAUCGGGAUAGAUUCUUGUAAUUUUUGAUCUUAAACGAGGAAUUCCUAGUAAACGCAAGUCAUCAGCUUGCAUUGAUUACGUCCCUGCCCUUUGUACACACCGCCCGUCGCACCUACCGAUUGAAUGGUCCGGUGAAAUCUCCGGACUGGCGUGAGUCGGAGCAAUCUGACAAACGCCGGAAAGUUGAUUAAACCUUACCAUUUAGAGGAAGGUGAAGUCGUAACA
rnacentral:rRNA from 1 species